CAUGUCACUGCUUGUUUCUCUUCUGUUCCUGCAGAGUGUGCUGUAGCUCUCUUAGGUUUUCCGACAACAGCUCCACUUCAUCAAGCCGACCGCUGAGUUUGGCGUCAAAAAUGUAAGCCCUGAUGUUGUCGAUCUGCUGCAGCAGCAGCUCUUCUUCUAUCAUGUCCACGUCGGGUGGCACCUCAUCAUCAUCAUCAUCAUCAUCAUCACAGUCAAAGGGGUUGGUUGAGGUGGUCUUUGAAUCCUCGGAGGCCUCAAUGAAGGGGUUACCGCACUCUGUAUCGUCUUCCUCAAAGGGGUUACCGGGAACGUGAUCGGCCUGUGUGUCGUCGUCAUCGUCCUCAUCAUCAUCAGCCUCGGCUUCAUCAAAAGGGUUGUAUUCUUUCUUUUCAAUGGCCACUUCUUUGUGUUCCCUCUUUACGUCCUCACUGAAGGGAUUGGACGGAUCCUCCUCAAUUGGAGUUGAGUCCUCUUCAUCAAACGGGUUACGGGAGGUGCUGUUCUGGCUGUCUCCACUGGGGGGCGUUACCUGGCCGCCUAAGCUUCUCAGUCUCUGAGAUUCCUCCUGGUUUGAAGCAGGGAAUGCAUUGAUGGUGUUCUCAUCUUUGGGUGUUAAAUCAUCUUCUCUUGAGCCUGCUUGCAAGCUAUCACUGGGACUGAUAUUCAAAGUUCUCUCCCAGGUGAAGGCUGCCUGAAUGGGGACCACAAUGGGACCCCUGUGAUCCCUGUCUUCCUUCCCCCAAGCCCCCAGACGGCUCAGCUCAUCCUGCUGCAAGGUCUCCUCUUCGGCCAGCUUCUGAGAGAGCGCGAUGGCGAGGCUGGUCUGCUGCUGGUCAUAUUCAUCCUGCAGCUGACGCAGGUUCUCUUCCAGCAUGGCCACCUCGUCUGUUCUCUGGGCUUGACGUGCCUGCCGAAGGAACGACUGGAUGUUGUCGAUCUGCUGCAGGAGGGGGUCCUCGAGCUCGCUGCGUGCAUUGCCAGACUCAGAAGAGGGUAACCAGCCUCCGGCUUUGGUCAUGAGAGGUGCUCUGGUCACUUGAAGUUCUCCGUUGGUGCUGGACAGAUGGUUCUUUUCAGACUCCUGCCUCCUCUUCAGGGCCUCCUGAACUGUCUGUGAGCCAAAAGAAAAUAGAAACACAAGUAGCAUCGCCAGUAAAAUGUCCGACAAAAAGUGUGUGAUUUCCAUCUCACCAGUCUCUCCAGCUGGAGUUUCUUCUCUUGCUCCUGUUUUCGCUUUUCUUUCAGCUCUUCGUAUUUCUCUUUAGUCGGUAAGGACAUGAGCCCCAAAAGCUUCUCCUAUGAGGAAGAUCAAAUGAAUGGUAUUAUUUGUAUUAAUAACACAAUGAUUGAUAAUGUUAUUUUUCUGAGCGCUUGGCUUCACCUGGACAAAUAGUGUGGCUGUGUAGCGGACCAUCCUCUGCAACUGGAGCACCUUCGGAUGUGGCUGUGGUUCGUCUUUAAUUCCCAGAGUUAGAAUCUUUUUACUGAGAAAAGAACACAAAGGGCCAGGGUGAUGAACGGUCUUGAAGAGUUCCAUUUUCAAGCAUAGGACACAUUUCUACCUUAGAGCAUCAAUCAGUUCGUAGUAUUUCUGUACUUCCAGUCGAAGUCCACCUGCUGUGUCUAGACUGUAUGUGGUCUCCCCAGCACUAAGAAAGAAUGUCUUUGACAUUAAAAUAUUGUCGGGAAUUGCAACGUGAUGAGCCUAAAUGGAUCUUACUUGAGAGACUCCGCAAUUUUGAUGUACUCUGGAGCCUUUUCAUCCACCUUCUCCAUGCACAUCCUCAGCCUCUGACAAAAAGACAAACAGGAAAUAUGAGGGUGACAGAAAAAAAAUCCAAAAUACUACAUUCCUCAUAUUUUAAUACAAAAACCGACCUCAUAAAGUUUGACUAUAUCAGGCACAAAUUCUUUCUCCUCCAAUUUCUGCUGCCUCUUCAACAGCAUGUCCAUACAAUGAUGACAGCAGCGAAUCCUCUCGUCGUCCUUCUCUUCCAGCAUGGAGGUGACGCUGCUCAGGCUGCUGAUGCUGCCUCUCCUGGACCCCAUACCACUGCUGGUGCCAGUCGGGGGAGACUGGGAGUGACUGCGGCCCCCAGAGGGACCAUCGAGAGCUUGAUCACCAGCUGCAUCUCCGUCUGGUUUGGGAGCUGCAGUGAGUGGUGAGGACAGCGGAGAUCAUCGGGACCCCGCACCCCCAACCACCCAUCCAGGACAUAUCCAGAGCCCACCGGAUCAUCUCUGACCCCACUCACCCCCAGCAUGGACCGUAAGACCAUCUAUCUCAGUUGUCCUCGAACGUGGCCGUCAUCCCCAGAAUGCUCCUCUUCGUAGUGGCCUUGGAGCUGGUAGAAAGACUGCAGGUCCUUCAGGCACAGCGGGCAAAGGAAGCCCUCCUUCACCUCACCUGUGGCCUCAAACGGGUAACUCGAAGCCAUGAUGGCGGAGGCCAGUGCUGUUGUCUACUCCUUGUGCCACAGGAAGUGCAAGGUGUGCCAUGAUGGAUCCAUCACACUGGAAACCAACGAUACAAGCGCAAAUGGAGCAACUAGUCAUUGACACUUGCUUAUGAUCGCUAAUCUCAACAUCAGUGGCAGCGAACCUUGGUCAUGUGACACUGGCGGUGGUAGUACGGAAAGCAAUGAGGAACAAACUUACCCGAACUCGGAACAAACGCUACGUAAAUAAAAUACCGGAUAGAACGCAGUAGAAGGCUCUCUGCUCCAUGGUGAAGCAAAUCGUCUACAGUCCUCUGGUCCGGCUCCUCCUCAACAGAUAUGCUCUGUCCUCUACAUACCAUCUUCAAGUUGCAAACCAGGACAGAAGCCAGGAUGAAAAGACAUGUGGACUUCAUGGCGGGACACUGGCGUAGCCUUGCGGGAGACAUCGAAA